AUGUACCUCCAUGGGUUGUAUAAAGAGAGAUGAUGGAGCUCUCAGAAUAUGUGUCUGUGGAAAGUAUGACUCUGUCUUCAGAAAUUGGCUUAGCUUCUGGCGUCAUUCAAAGUGGGUCCAAUAUAUGUAGGCCUGGGAGGAGAUGAUAGAAGGUUCUAACUGCUUUGCCAGGAACAGCCUGCACCUCUCCCUGUAAAACUUCUGUGUAUACUGGCUGCAACCUUGUCUUCCCCAAUAAUGUCUUUUUUAGGCCGUUGUAUAAACCUCCCAACAUAACUAAGUAGACAGCAUUAACGUAUCACUUCUCAGUGCUAAGAGCUUUAACAAAAACACACCCAGCAAGCAUUGCUUACCCUGGAAAACAUCAGUAUAUGCAUUGUCACAGAAACCUGGUUCAAGAUCAGUGAAAGCAUUCUAUCAUGUAGGGCUUUACUACCUGUCUCUUGUACAGGCCACCGCAUUAGACAAAGGUACUAAAGACAGAAGUGUCUCUAUAAACAAUACCACUUAUUUAUUUGGAUUUGUUUACCGGGAAGGUCCGCUGGGCCUAGGAGAGCCCAUUUUCAGUGGAGGCCCGGGGAGAAAAGCGCCACAAAGGUUCAGCAACAAUCAUAAUAUGAACAACCAUAAGAAGUAACAAAAAAACAGUACAGGAGUUUACAGUGCAAUAUAAUUAUAGUUUAAACUAAGUGCACAACAGAUUUUACAUUUAUAAUAUUAAACAAUGAAAGGUAUACAGUGUUAUAUAAACACUAGUCUAAGCUAGACACACACUAGAUUAGAUUAUUUACAUUUAUGGUAGUUUUUGCAACAGUGAGCAAGUUCCUAUAAAUAGAAUAUUAAUGUAUUGAAGUGUGAAGUAUUAUUAUGAGUAAAUAGAUUUGGAAGGAAGUGCAAGUUGUUAGAAGACAUGAGAUAAACUACGGAGUUAUAAUGGGGGGAAGUCAGGUUUUAGGGAGUGUAGAUUUAGUACAUGUGCAGAACCAGAGAGAAGAAAGAUGUUCUUUAAGGGACUUUUUAAAGACAGCAAGAUUGCUUCUCACAUCGUAGAGAACUACAGGAUCCCCUCUUUGACCCCCCUUGGCCCAUACCUCCUACCUAACUAGCAUGGAGUCCCACUGUAUUAAUCCAGACCCCAUUCCGGCAGACUGUAACGUCCUCUACAUAAACUUGGUGACUUGUAUUUCCUCAGACAUGUAUGCCCAGAGGUUUGUGGACUUCAUCAUUACAAACUCUCUGGACCAGUGCAGACUCUCCAGACCAAUUAGUCUGCACCCCAGUCAGAGGUAAUAAUGUCCUGAACUUGGUCCUUAUAAAAACGGGCAGUCCUGCUCCCAACUGGUUGUAACUUCCUCCCUGGUCAAAUCAGACCACAACUUAGUCACAUUUACUUUAUGAUUGAAGCCUGUAGCAUCCCCCAAUACCUCAGAAUUCAGAGACUAUGCAAAGGCUGAUCUACUAAAUCUGAGUGAUGACCUGGCUGAAUUAAAAGCUCCUUCCACCUCAGUGAUCGUACUACUUAGUCUGAAUCCUUUACAGCCAAAUUCUAUGCAUAUAUAAAUAGUUGCAUAGACGCAGCUGUCCUUCUCCCCUGUGGUGGAACCCUAAUGUAAUUAGGCUAUAUAAUAAAAGAAAAAAAUAAAUAAAAGAAAACCGCUCAUUGCAAGCAAAAAUAAAUCGAACUGUCAA